AUGCAACCUACCUUCUUCUGAGGAAUAGCCCAGAGAAAUUUGGAUUAAAACCUCAUGAUAAUAUUUAUUCGCAUGUCUAAAUAUUUAAAAUUUCGAUGGAAGAAGAUGGGCAUGCGUAACAUUAGUUUGUUGGUGAGGUAAUGGCUCACCAAGACUACGAUGUUUAGGGGGUCUGAGAGGAUGAUCCCCCACACUGGUACUGAGACACGGACCAGACUCCUACGGGAGGCAGCAGUGAGGAAUAUUGGUCAAUGGACGAAAGUCUGAACCAGCCAUGCCGCGUGAAGGAUGACUGCCCUACGGGUUGUAAACUUCUUUUGUAUAGGAAGAAACCCCUCUACGUGUAGAGGGUUGACGGUACUAUUCGAAUAAGCACCGGCUAACUCCGUGCCAGCAGCCGCGGUAAUACGGAGGGUGCGAGCGUUAUCCGGAAUUAUUGGGUUUAAAGGGUGCGUAGGCGGAAAUUUAAGUCAGUGGUGAAAGCCUGCAGCUUAACUGUAGAAUUGCCAUUGAUACUGAUUUUCUUGAAUCUAAUUGAAGUA
rnacentral:rRNA from 1 species